UACAGAGGUCCCGAGCGUUGUUCGGAUUCAUUGGGCGUAAAGUGUGCGCAGGCGGCAGAGCAAGUCGAGUGUGAAAGCCCCGGGCUUAACUUGGGAAUUGCGCUCGAAACUACUUUGCUGGAGUGUGGCAGAGGAAGGUGGAAUUCCACGUGUAGCGGUAAAAUGCGUAGAGAUGUGGAGGAACACCAAUGGCGAAGGCAGCCUUCUGGGCCAACACUGACGCUCAUGCACGAAAGCGUGGGGAGCAAACAGG
rnacentral:rRNA from 1 species